CUAAGACUCUUUAAAAGACCCCCAUGCAAACCUUCACCUGGACCCAUCACUCUAAGCAUGGAUCUUGGAAGAGGGUGGUGGGAGAAGGGACGGAACACAUUCUUGGGUCCCAGCCUGGUGACUCAAUGGGCUGACCCAUUUGAGCACACACCAGGCGAUAGUUCAGGGGCUGAGGGAUUCAGCCUACACAAGUUCCUAGCUUUACUCCCAGGCGAUGCAACAGAAGAA